rnacentral:lncRNA from 1 species
UUAUUAUAUUACACAUCAAAAAAUAUUUUAUAUACACAUUUAUAAAUAUGUAAAUAAUAGAUUUAGACCCAGUUUCAUUUAACCAAACCAAUCAUGAAAAUGACAUGUCCAAACAUUUUUAAGAUGCAAACCAUUGAUUGUUUGUAUAAAGGGCUAUGCCGACCGCACUGUAAGUGUAGGGCAUCGUCCCAUAGAUUGAACAUGACUAGAGACUUAUCUAAUCUUGAAUGUACCAUAAAAAUUUAUACAGUUAAUUGUUCGUAUAUUAAGAAAAAUGCGAAUGUCUGUACAUAAAAAUCUCUAAUUAUGUCGGUCCAUACAAAUUUAUGAAAAAGUUGGAACUAUCACGUUGUUGCUUCUAAUAAUCAUUUUAAAGAGUUGUGUUGAUUGUUUGCAUUUUAAGGAAAUACAAGCAUGUACGUGCACAUGACAAUUAUGACCAUCUAGAUUUAUGACCACCUCGCUUCCGAUAGUUAUCCUUAGGCUUCACGUAAAUCGUGAUGCAUCCACGAAAUUCAAAGAUCAGAGUUUAUAUAAAUGAGGAAAAAAUAACGUGAUUCUUGAGUCAAAAUGAAAAGAUUUGCUUAAAUUUAGUAAACGCUUACGCAAGCUCGACCAAUUUCUUUGUUUUUGCGGUAAUACAUCUGUUCAAAUCACUGCGUCGUUUAUUUUAUCAAUUGAUUCACGCAGUUAUAUAACAUAUAAAUGGGCAAUCAAUUUUAAUCACCGUAAUAUAAUUUUAAAAACCACUAAGAUUUAAUUCAGUAACUAGAGCCACUCACUUACGAGUGUGAGAAAAAUGAUUUGAGUCCCCACAAAUAUACUGUAAGGGUUUGAGGAAUGCAAGAGUUUGACAUCUCUCGAAGAUUUAAUGUAAAUUGAUCUUAAUAAAUGUAUGAUUGUAAAUAUCAUGAUGAACAAUAGUGUCUAAAAAAGACAUAAUUUUAAAAAACUAAUUUAAGAUUGUUAAAGUUAUGACUGUACGGGAUAGCAUGCGUAACAAUGAGCUCACUCUCGUCUACUGUAAAAAGUCCACAGAAUUUUAGGAUAAAACAAACAAAUGUUUAAACAUAUUACGCAAUCAAAAUCAGACCCAAAACAGCCACCCGGCCGUUCUCUUCAUCCUUGUAGGAAAUUCGCAAGUCGCACCUCAGCGAGAGUGAAGCCAGCCUCAUUGCGGCGUUCACUGCUCGAUGCGGCUGCUUAUUAAAAACACUAUUUGUGUCUUUAUCGUUUUAUUAUUUUGGUCAAAAAUUGUGAUCAAAAGUCCAAAAUGCCGUUAUCUUUUCUUUUCCUUCCGCGUCUUUUUAUCCUUUUUGGUGAAAGAAUUAGCACUAAUGAGUAAUGAUCGAUAGCUACAAAAGCGCGCAGGAAAAAAAAAAAGGGGUUCAAUGCAUGGGCGGAUCUAGCAUGUGACCAGUGGGGGCUCAAAAAAAAAUUAUAAAAAUAAAAGAGA